CUGCGUGAAGUCGGAAUCGCUAGUGAUCGCGGAUCAGCAUGCCGCGGUGAAUACGUUCCCGGGCCUUGUACACACCGCCCGUCACACCAUGAGAGUCGGGAACACCCGAAGUCCGUAGCCUAACCGCAAGGAGGGCGCGGCCGAAGGUGGGUUCGAUAAUUGGGGUGAAGUCGUAACAAGGUAAC
rnacentral:rRNA from 1 species